AGUGAACGCUGGCGGUAGGCCUAACACAUGCAAGUCGAACGGCAGCACAGUAAGAGCUUGCUCUUACGGGUGGCGAGUGGCGGACGGGUGAGGAAUACAUCGGAAUCUACUUUUUCGUGGGGGAUAACGUAGGGAAACUUACGCUAAUACCGCAUACGACCUACGGGUGAAAGCAGGGGAUCUUCGGACCUUGCGCGAUUGAAUGAGCCGAUGUGGGAUUAGCUAGUUGGCGGGGUAAAGGCCCACCAAGGCGACGAUCCGUAGCUGGUCUGAGAGGAUGAUCAGCCACACUGGAACUGAGACACGGUCCAGACUCCUACGGGAGGCAGCAGUAGGGAAUAUUGGACAAUGGGCGCAAGCCUGAUCCAGCAAUACCGCGUGGGUGAAGAAGGCCUUCGGGUUGUAAAGCCCUUUUGUUGGGAAAGAAAAAAAGCAUGUUAAUACCCCGCUGUUCUGACGGUACCCAAAGAAUAAGCACCGGCUAACUUCGUG
rnacentral:rRNA from 1 species